AUUCGAGGUGCGGGCCCUCGGGGCCCACCUCCCACCCGUGUUGCCCGAACCUAUGUUGCCUCGGCGGGCCCCGCGCCCGCCGACGGCCCCCCUGAACGCUGUCUGAAGUUGCAGUCUGAGACCUAUAACGAAAUUAGUUAAAACUUUCAACAACGGAUCUCUUGGUUCCGGCAUCGAUGAAGAACGCAGCGAAUUGCGAUAACUAAUGUGAAUUGCAGAAUUCAGUGAAUCAUCGAGUCUUUGAACGCACAUUGCGCCCUCUGGUAUUCCGGAGGGCAUGCCUGUCCGAGCGUCAUUGCUGCCCUCAAGCCCGGCUUGUGUGUUGGGCCCCGUCCCCCCCGCCGGGGGGACGGGCCCGAAAGGCAGCGGCGGCACCGCGUCCGGUCCUCGAGCGUAUGGGGCUUCGUCACCCGCUCUAGUAGGCCCGGCCGGCGCCAGCCGACCCCCAACCUUUAAUUAUCUCAGGUUGACCUCGGAUCAGGUAGGGAUACCCGCUGAACUUAAGCAUAUCAAUAAAGCGGAGGAAUA
rnacentral:rRNA from 1 species